AACGAACGCUGGCGGCAUGCCUAACACAUGCAAGUCGAACGAGACCUUCGGGUCUAGUGGCGCACGGGUGCGUAACGCGUGGGAACCUGCCCUUAGGUUCGGAAUAACUCCCCGAAAGGGGUGCUAAUACCGGAUAAUGUCUUCGGACCAAAGAUUUAUCGCCUUUGGAUGGGCCCGCGUUGGAUUAGCUAGUUGGUAGGGUAAAAGCCUACCAAGGCGACGAUCCAUAGCUGGUCUGAGAGGAUGAUCAGCCACACUGGGACUGAGACACGGCCCAGACUCCUACGAGAGGCAGCAGUGGGGAAUAUUGGACAAUGGGCGAAAGCCUGAUCCAGCAAUGCCGCGUGAGUGAUGAAGGCCUUAGGGUUGUAAAGCUCUUUUACCCGGGAUGAUAAUGACAGUACCGGGAGAAUAAGCUCCGGCUAACUCCG
rnacentral:rRNA from 1 species